GAUGAACGCUGGCGGCGUGCUUAACACAUGCAAGUCGAACGGAAAGGCCCUGCGUUUGUUGGGUGCUCGAGUGGCGAACGGGUGAGUAACACGUGAGUAACCUGCCCUUGACUUUGGGAUAACUUUAGGAAACUGGGGCUAAUACCGGAUAGGAUCUCUUGCUGCAUGUUGUGGUUUGGAGAGUUUCGGCGGUGGUGUAUGGACUCGCGGCUUAUCAGCUUGUUGGUGGGGUAGUGGCUUCCCAAGGGUUUGACGGCUAGCCGGCCUGGGCGGGUGACCGGCAACAUUGGGCCUGAGAUAGGGCCCAGAAUCCAACGGGAGGCAGUGGGGGGGAAUAUGGCACAAGGGGGGGAAGCCGGUGGCGGGAACGCCGCGUGCGGGAUGCCGGCUUUCGGGUUAAAAACCGCUUUGGCAGGUACCGAGGCGUGUGUGACGGUACUGGGUAAAGAAGCACCGGCUAACUACGUG
rnacentral:rRNA from 1 species